GACGAACGCUGGCGGCGUGCUUAACACAUGCAAGUCGAACGGUAAGGCCCCAGCUUGCUGGGGUACACGAGUGGCGAACGGGUGAGUAACACGUGGGUGACCUGCCCCGCACUUCGGGAUAAGCCUGGGAAACUGGGUCUAAUACCGGAUAGGACCGCACCGUGAGGGUGUGGUGGAAAGUUUUUCGGUGUGGGAUGGGCCCGCGGCCUAUCAGCUUGUUGGUGGGGUAAUGGCCUACCAAGGCGGCGACGGGUAGCCGGCCUGAGAGGGUGGACGGCCACAUUGGGACUGAGACACGGCCCAG
rnacentral:rRNA from 1 species